rnacentral:rRNA from 1 species
AUUGAACGCUGGCGGCGUGCCUAACACAUGCAAGUCGAGCGGUAACAGGUGUAGCAAUACAUGCUGACGAGCGGCGAACGGGUGAGUAAUGCUUCGGAAUCUACCCAAUGGUGGGGAAUAACCAGCCGAAAGGUUGGCUAAUACCGCAUACGUCCCACGGGAGAAAGCAGGGGAUCGCAAGACCUUGCGCCAAUGGAUGAGCCGAAGUCGGAUUAGCUAGUGGUAGGGUAACGGCCUACCAAGGCGACGAUCCGUAGCUGGUCUGAGAGGACGACCAGCCACACUGGGACUGAGACACGGCCCAGACUCCUACGGGAGGCAGCAGUGGGGAAUAUUGGACAAUGGGGGAAACCCUGAUCCAGCGACGCCGCGUGUGUGAAGAAGGCCUGCGGGUUGUAAAGCACUUUUAGUGGGGAUGAAAUGUUCAGGGUUAACACCUCUGGAUUUUGACCUAACCCACAGAAAAAGCACCGGCUAACUCUGUGCCAGCCGCCGCGGU